GACUCCGCAGUGUAGUGGUUAGCGCCUCCAUCCAAAAAACGGGAGUCGUAGGUUCAAUUCCUACCGGUGUCU
rnacentral:tRNA from 1 species